rnacentral:lncRNA from 1 species
UUUUUUUUGGGUAUUUGAUUUUUAAAUCUUAGUAUUCGUCUGAUAUUCAAAUCCGUAUUUAUUUAUAUAUUUAUUAUAAUAUAAGAUAAAAAUAUACAGAAUAUAUCUGAACUAUAGACCAUUUUGAUUGUACUACCAAAUCUUUCAAUUUAUUAGAUUUGAGUCAUUCAACGACUUUUUAACUUUAAAUUUAAAUGUGCUGUUUAUCUUUAUAGAUUUAGUUAAUAUAUUUUGUAUAGUUUUCGUAACUAUAAAUUGAUUAAAGUAAAUAAUUAGCUAAAAUAUUGAAGUCAAAGUACUUUUAACGGACUCAAAUCAAAUAAAUUAAAAUGUUGGACAAUAAAAUUAAGAUAUUAUAAGAUAGGAUAGCAGAUUCAAAAUCUAUAUUUUACCUCUUUAAAGUUUCAGAAAUAUUUUCAGUGAAUUACGACGUUAAUGAGAAUAGCGAAAUGAUCGAACUAUCUUUUACUUAUUCUAUAAAAAAAAUAAUUUUUUUUAACAUAUUUGUAUUAUUUUUAAUAGUAUUUUCGGUAUGAAUUAUAAAAAUAUACGGAAUAAUAAUGAAACCUAGAAGAGUCUAAAUACAUCAACUUAAAACUUUAAUAAAGGUAUAAAAUAUAAAAUUUUGAAAUUAAAAAGAUUUAAAAUAAAAAAAAAGAUUUUUAUAAAUUU